GAGUUUGUGGUUCAAAGGCUGAAAAUUUCACUACAAGCAUCCAAUCCCCUGGGCACAACUAAAGUAGCUUUUGGGGGGAUCCUCGCCUAUAUAAUUUGUAAAGAAUGGAUUGAAUACGGGGGUCAGCCAGCCGUGGUCAUUGUCUCUGUGCCUCAGAUGUUACACUGAUGAAAUCUUAGUGUCUGGCGCGAUCUUGGAUGAAUACAAAAAUCUGAUUUGGUCUGCAGCCAGUUUUUCCUUUCCACUCUGGACCAUUGAGGGAACAUCUGGGAGAACAUUAUAUUCAUUAAUCCAAAUUCUGAACAAUUUGAGUGGGAUACCUGAUCCUGUUUGAAUCUUCUUAUUAUGUCAGCAUGCCCGUUUGUUAGAUACCAAUGUUAUAGCCAGUGAAUGGCCUACGUCACUUUUUAAUAUCCAUAACAUUCUGUUUUCUCAGAAUACAAGAACAAAAGCGCCGUUGAGCAUUUCAUUUUAGAGACUGUGUGCGCGCAUACACGGACAAGCGCACACACUUACUACUGUUCUGAUGGUAGCCCUUCAAAGGUUUUCUUUUGUUAUGCAUAUUUGUUUUAUUGGCUCUGGAAACCUAAGGGCUUCGUCUUCCCUCUCCAUAUGUCAAGAGUCCACCGAGCCUCUCUGCAGCUUGAUGUUGGAAUAUUAGGACGGUAUGAUCGUGCCAUAUUCAUAGCAUCCCAUUUUCAUAAAUGCUGCCUUCUUGAAGCAGCUGCUGCACACACCAGUGUUGUGCCUUAUUGAAAGCCAGCCUCUUUAUGUGGUUCAGUGUUAUUUCUUGGUCACUGGCUUUUGUGCAGUGAGCAAAAUUAAUGUCAUAUGAACUAUUCAGAGAGGACGGUGAGAUUUUUCUGGUUUCUGAUUGUCUAUAACAUAGAGUAUGCCUAACUAUAUGCUUUCGCCCUGCGGUGAGAGAGAGACACACACAAAUAGUGCCACCCUACUAACGCUUGCUUGGGAGUAAGCCCCACUGAAAAGACUUGAGAAGAAUUCUGAGUAGCCUGUUUGAGAGCAACACAAAGCAGGUUUUAAAAUUCUACUCAAGUCUAUUCACUGGGGCUUCCCCCCCAGAGAACGUUCUCAGGAUGGCAGUAUAUGAACAUUUGCUUCCAGCACAGAAAUAUAUUGCCUAAGAUCAGGGCCAUUAACUGUACUAUGUGAACCCCCUUUACCCGUGUUUGACUUUAUUAAAGCAAAAACAACUGGAAGCAUACAGCAGAUAA